rnacentral:rRNA from 1 species
UACGUAGGGUGCGAGCGUUGUCCGGAAUUAUUGGGCGUAAAGAGCUUGUAGGCGGUUUGUCGCGUCUGCUGUGAAAUUCCAGGGCUUAACCCUGGGCUUGCAGUGGGUACGGGCAGACUAGAGUGUGGUAGGGGAGACUGGAAUUCCUGGUGUAGCGGUGAAAUGCGCAGAUAUCAGGAGGAACACCAAUGGCGAAGGCAGAUCUCUGGGCCGUAACUGACGCUGAGGAGCGAAAGCAUGGGGAGCGAACAGG